GCAACACUUGACUGAAUUUAAUGAUAUGCAUCUGAUUGUAAUUUUUCAAGAAAUAAACAAUAAUUUUUUUUUAUGAUCUAUAAAAAUUAUGCUUUGGCAAAUCUAAACAAAAUUUCACGAAAACAAAAUAUAAAUAUAUGGGCGGAGUCUUUUUGCCAUAUUUGGCGUGUUAACCUCUGAACUUGCAAUGCAUGUACACAACAGCCGCCAUUUCAAACUAAAACACGGUUGUGUGUUUGUUGACAGAUUGAGGUUUAGUGUGUAGAGAAAACCAAUUUGAACGAAUUUUGUAUAAACAGUCAUUUUUUUUCUUGUAAGUGAUAUUGUGAGUAUUAUCUCUAGUUUAU
rnacentral:lncRNA from 1 species